rnacentral:tRNA from 1 species
GAGGGCAUAGCUCAAGUGGUAGAGUGCAUGCCUAGCAUGUGUGAGGUCCUGGGUUCAACUCCCAGUGCCUCCU